GGGGCUGUAUAGCUUCGACAGUGAAUCUUGAUUUCUAGGGGUAGCAUGUCGUUUGCGCUGGCCAACGUUAAAAGCUGGCAAACUACAAAUGCCAAAAACGCAUUUAGCAAACCAUUAGUGUUUGCGCCAGUAUUUGCCUAAUUGCGAAUACCGCUUCUGAUUACUUUGCUCAAGUGUAAUCAAGAGGCGUCAUAAAGUUGAGCUGCUGUGUUAGUGGUUACGGCUAACGCUUAAGAUUAAUGUGACUUAAUUUGCCAUUGCCUUUGUUGGCUUAUGAGUGGCGGAUGAAAACUAAUAAACCGACUAAACAUGUAGCGACUCUUGGAAAUUAUUCUCUGGACGGGGGUGCAAAUCCCCCCAGCUCCACCA
rnacentral:tmRNA from 1 species